rnacentral:lncRNA from 1 species
CACACACACACACACACACACACACACACACACACACACACACACAGAUUCUGUGCCCAACAUCUGGAAAGUCUUCCAACAUAAGCAGCAUGUACUGCCUACUGUUCCACCACACAUCCACUCGUGAGCUCUUUAAGUCUGGCCUGUCAGCCAACACCGAUUGCUGCUUCCUCGUCGCUUCUUCUCUUGCGUAAGUGGAAUUGGUUGGAUCUCUUAGUUGUGUUAAAAACUAAUCUUUUAUUAUCUUGUCCUUCCUUUUAAAAAGGCAGAGCAGAUCUUCUGGGGAUGUACAGAGGCAGCUCAGGUAACACAGACUUAUCAGCUGAGCCCAGGAAAGCAGUCAUAGGGACAUUACGGGGACAUCAGGACAGACAGGAGCCAGAUACCAACCACAGCCAGGAUGGCUCUUGGUGUUUCUGCCUCUUGUCCCUGUAUCCAUGCCUUGCCUGUCAGCUUAAUUAUUUCAGAGUAUCUUUCUCUGUGAGUCUGGCACCAAAACUGCCAGUAAUUCUGGGCAUAAAUCUCCUAGGCUGAAAACCAGCGAGAACGCUCCAAUUACAAGAAAAAGACUGACUGGCCAUGUGCCUAGUCUGGGGGGUUGAAGGAACUGUAUGGCUAUGAAAAGGGAAGGUUGGGGCUUGCACUUGAGGGAUUCUAGACCUAGAUCUGAAAGGGAGUGGUGAGACACCCAGUCGUGAUAUGUGCAGCCACUUAGUCACUCACUGAACACCUGCUGAUUGCCUAGUCCUGUAUUCAGCACGGAAAUAGGUGGAUGGGAGAUUUGAGUGUCUCUAGAGAAGCAGGUGGCACACUGUUGCAUACACAGGCAUCACACACAUACGCACACCUUACAGGAAACCCUCCAAGAUCCUGGCGCUGGCAUGCCGACCUCACCACCUGCCGGGGGCCUCCAACACAGUCUCCUGCUCCUCCUCCGUUGCCUUGGAAUCCUCUAGUUAAAUCAUCCACUUCAGCAGCCAUUUAUCUUCCCUUCUAACCCUCCAUUUUAGUCCUUUAGAAACCUAUUGAGAGCCAGUGAUGCAAAGAAGACACCAGCUAGUUCUCCAGAAUCCACAUGCUCAGAAUUAUGCACUGAGGGUGGGGAGCAAGGCUCCCUGGGAACCUGGACUGGGGAAAACCAUCAAGAAGAAAAGUAGGCAAAAUUGGUAUCCCCGAGUAUGUCAUCUCUGAGGACCAUGGCUUAGAACAGUCAACCAGGGCCUACACUGGGGCCAAGGUGCUACAAGGUUCUAUUCUCACAAAUGUAGAAGUUAUGAGUGUGUGCAUACAGUCAUUGUAUUUGUAUGGGAAAGUUUUGAGUAAUUUUUUCCCCAGUACAUAUAUUUUGAAAUUAUGUGAAUGGUUUUGGCAAUACUGCCUUGACAUUUCUUUGGGUUUUUAGUGACAUUAUGAUAGGCUUGUAAGAACAAAACCCUAUUUUAAGUCAAAACAUCUGUAUGACAGUCGCAGAACUCAGUAGUGACCCAGUCUUUGAUCGACUUGGGAGGCUCUGGCAAUUCCCAUGUAGUGAGCACCUGCUAUGUACCAGGCUCCUAGCUUUGCCCUGCACACACGUUCUCGAUGAUAAGGCGCAUACUGCUGCUUCUGCUCCAUGAAGGGCUAGUUUCAUGCAGGAGGUCAAGUGGUGAGUGAAACCCAGAGCUGUGGGAGACCGUGACUUGUUUGGAACCCUGGUCCCCAAGUGCCAUUCCUGGGCUGACCUAGAAUCAAGUUUCCAUUUUGUAGCAAAACCACCUAAGUAAGAUAAAGUCAUCGUUUUUGUGAAGGUAAAAGAAGUGCUCUAUUCAAAUUCUAAUUCUCGGUUCUAACAUUCUGUCCAUCUUCCUUUGGAGGAGUAGUAAUGAGUGUUUUAAUAGUCCUGUUGUAGUUGGUAGGGGGUGGGCGUUCUUUCUGUUUUAAAUUGUCCUGAGUUGGACAGUUGGCAGUCAUGUGUGAAUGCCCAGAAGUUUGUGUGCCCUAAGACCUAAUGCUGUAAGACAUCUACAUCUGGAAGGUAAUGUUCUGUAUAACAUUGGUGUCUUGAAGGCUGGCCGCCAUGAUAGUCAGCCUGGGUGGUUUCUUUGCGUUACCUUGGAUAGGUCACACCACUGAGAGAAGGUCUUAUGGUAGCUUUGCAAAUUAAAAAUAAGGAGCCUUAGAGGUAAGAUGCUGGUUGACUAAGCCAAAGUCUCCGUGCCCUCUGUGUACCCCACCCCAAACAGCCAUCCCCCCCC